UUUCGCAAUGCCCGAAAGGGUGACGAAGCGACGCCGCGUGUGGGAAGAAGGCCUUCGGGUUGUAAACCACUGUCGGGAGUUAGGAAAUGUAAGGGUGCUAAUAGUAUCCUUACUUGACUAAGGCUCCGGAGGAAGCCACGGCUAACUCUGUGCCAGCAGCCGCGGUAAUACAGAGGCGGCAAGCGUUGUUCGGAAUUAUUGGGCGUAAAGAGCACGUAGGCGGCCUUGUAAGUCAGUUGUGAAAGCCUUCUGCUUAACGGAAGAACAGCAGCUGAUACUGCAAGGCUAGAGUGCGGAAGGGGAGAGUGGAACUUCUGGUGGAGCGGUGAAAUGCGUAGAUAUCAGAAGGAACACCGGCGGCGAAGGCGACUCUCUGGUCCGUAACUGACGCUGAGUGUGCGAAAGCUAGGGGAGCAAACGGGAUUAGAUACCCCGGUAGUCCUAGCCGUAAACGAUGGGCACUAAGUAGAGGGGUUUUA
rnacentral:rRNA from 2 species